GAUGAACGCUAGCGAUAGGCCUAACACAUGCAAGUCGAGGGGCAGCACAUGAGUAGCAAUACGAUGGUGGCGACCGGCGCACGGGUGAGUAACACGUAUGCAACCUACCUUUAACAGGGGAAUAACCCGUUGAAAAACGGACUAAUACUCCAUAACACAGGGGUCCCGCAUGGGAAUAUUUGUUAAAGAUUUAUCGGUUGAAGAUGGGCAUGUGUUCCAUUAGCUUGUUGGUGAGGUAACGGCUCACCAAGGCCACGAUGGAUAGGGGAACUGAGAGGUUUAUCCCCCACACUGGAACUGAGACACGGUCCAGACUCCUACGGGAGGCAGCAGUGAGGAAUAUUGGUCAAUGGAGGCAACUCUGAACCAGCCAAGUCGCGUGAAGGAUGAAGGUCUUAUGGAUUGUAAACUUCUUUUGCAAGGGAAUAAAGUGGGGGACAUGUCCUCCUUUGCAUGUACCUUGCGAAUAAGGAUCGGCUAACUCCGUGCCAGCCGCCGCCGUAA
rnacentral:rRNA from 1 species